ACUCUAAGAAAAUUAACAAGCAUGGCAAAAACGAGCACCUUGAUGGAAGCCUACCAGAACAAUCACAGCGACAACCCUGCUGCGGAGCCCCCUUUACACUGGAGUGAGGGACUGGGACUCCGUUAGGUUUUGAUCCGUACUCUGAUCUUCCAGAUUGAAGAGUUUGUCUUUUCCCUGUCAAGAUCUGAAGCCAGUUCACACACCAAAAAAGGUGUUCCCAUUCUCCACAACAACUGGUAGUUGUCAUGACACACCCACUAAGUUCCAAGUUUCCUUCCGGCAGAACUCACUUUUAAUUGGAUCACUUACCGGCAACAGAUGUGCCACAACUACAGUAGAGACGGCAUGUGAGUCGGGACACGGACUUGUUCCCCUUGACUAAGAAUUCAAUAAAGCUUUACACAACUGA